AUCCAGCCGACGAGUCCAAAAUAGGACGGAACGCGCGUUGUGGAU
rnacentral:hammerhead_ribozyme from 1 species